CACAAGUUCAGUGGAAUGUUCUAACCACACUUGGAAUUGUCAUUCCUAGUUACUACCACAGCAUCUCCCACAAAUGCCUCUCUACUUUUGGGAGCCUAGUGCCUUUCUCCGGCCUUCCAGAACUAACCAGAUGUCCUUUUCCAUAAAAGCUGUGCUGUCCCAUGCUUCAUCUCAGCUGGAGACACAGGCCAUGAACCAGGACAAGCCCUUCUGUCCCAAGCUCCCAAGCUUCUUGCUCUUCUGGGAAAAAUCCAAUUUUAAAAAAAUAAUAAGCCCUAAGAAAAUGGAAUGCAAAUUUUAUUUUCUUGUGGAUGACUCUUAAGGCUUGUGAAACUUACUGAAAUUACAUAGGGCCUAACCCAAUAGCCCCAUUCCAAGCUCUUGGUGAAUAUUCAGCUUUAGGAAAAUUAUGUUUUAAGUAUAAAAUGCACCCACUUGCUUUAUAGGAGAAGGAAAUGGCAACCCAAACCAAUGUUUUUGCCUGGAAAAUUCCAUGGACAGAGGUGAUUGGCAGGCUACAGUCCAUGGGAUCGCAGAGAGUCAGACACGACUGAGCAACUAUCACUCACUCCUUCACUUUCUUUAUAAGGCUUCCUUAUACACCUUGGCUUCAAUGAGGUAAUAGAUAUUAAACUGUGGCAUGUAAAGUUUUCCACAUAUGUGAAGUUUAAUUCUUUUGUUGCCUCCUACCCCAGAGCCCGUGCCCUCUCCCCAGAUUCUGGUGGGAUCAACAUCCAUCACACCAGACUGGUGCAACGUCACCGUGGAGUGCAGAGCCUCUGGGGCCACAGACGAUCUGAACGUGACCUGGGAGAACAAGGGCAUCCCCGGAGAAUGGGAGCAGAGAAGGACAUUAGAACCAGCUUCCAGCCCAUACAUUCUGGCUGUGAGUGUGCCAAGAGGCCAGCCCAAUGCCAGCCUCGUCUGUGUGGUCAGCAACCCGGUGGGAUAUAAAACUGCCUUCUUCAACCUUGGGGGAGUCUGCGUCCAUGAUUCAGCCAAUCUGGUCAUUGCUGAACUCUUGCCAGGCAUCCUUGGGGCAGUUGCGGCUGUGUUAUUGAUCCUCGGAGGCGGACUGUACCUUUGGAAGAUACGUAGGAAGAAGAUGGAGACUGGAAAAGGUGCAAGAUCACAAGAUGCUGAUGAUGAUAGCAUCCAGUAUGUAGAGCUGAGCCAGCAGAAAUCUCAAGAGAGCUCAAACAAGGUUAUCAGAGAACAGCAUCUGAAAGAAAGGGUACCUCUCAUUACUAUCUACAGUGAAGUCUGUAAGCCAGGUCAUGCCGUGCAGAUAAUUUAA
rnacentral:lncRNA from 1 species